GAAAAGAACUUUGAAGAGAGAGUUCAAGAGUACGUGAAACCGUUCAGGGGUAAACCUGAGAAACCCGAAAGAUCGAAUGGGGAGAUUCAUCGUCAGCGGCGCAGGCCUCGCGUUGGUUCGCGAUGUCGUUGCGAGAUAAGCGUUCGCGCGACAUCUCGCGCGGCACGCGACCGUCGCGUAGCGUUCGGCGUCGUCGGCGUGCACUUCUCCCCUAGUAGGACGUCGCGACCCGUUGGGUGCCGGUCUACGGCUCGGGUGGGCGUCUGUCGCGUCGCGUUUCUACGCACGCGGCAAACCCCCGAUGCGCCCGGCCGGCUGCCCGGCGGUAUCUUGUGCGAGGUAUCGGGCCGCACACCUCGUGUGCGUCGGACCCGUCGCAAGCGCGGUCAGGUUAACCGAGCGUACGGACCUAGUGCCGUCCUCGGUACUGGCCAGCUGUUGGCGUACGGUGUUCUCCGACAGGCUCUGAUCAUAUUAUAAAUACCGGUCGGCGACGCUACUGCUUUGGGUACUCUCAGGACCCGUCUUGAAACACGGACCAAGGAGUCUAACAUGUGCGCGAGUCAUUGGGACUGUUUUGAAACCUAAAGGCGCAAUGAAAGUGAAGGCGCGACCACUCCCUCGUUCUCGCCCGCGUCGUCGUCCUCGCUCCCUCCCUCCGGGGGGGCGCAGCGGGGCGCGCGCGGUGUCGAGGGCGGUGGUGAGGCGACGUCGCGCCGAGGGAGGAUGGGCCGCGUCACGAUGCGGCUUCGCACUCCCGGGGCGUCUCGUCCUCAUUGCGAGGUGAGGCGCACCCAGAGCGUACACGUUGGGACCCGAAAGAUGGUGAACUAUGCCUGGUCAGGACGAAGUCAGGGGAAACCCUGAUGGAGGUCCGUAGCGAUUCUGACGUGCAAAUCGAUCGUCGGAACUGGGUAUAGGGGCGAAAGACUAAUCGAACCAUCUAGUAGCUGGUUCCCUCCGAAGUUUCCCUCAGGAUAGCUGGCACUCGGACGUUCCGCUUGGAACGUAUGCGAGUCUCAUCUGGUAAAGCGAAUGAUUAGAGGCCUUGGGGCCGAAACGACCUCAACCUAUUCUCAAACUUUAAAUGGGUGAGAUCUCUGGCUUGCUUGAAUAUUGAA
rnacentral:rRNA from 1 species